rnacentral:rRNA from 1 species
UGAGUAGUGCCUAGGAAUCUGCCUGAUUGUGGGGGACAACGUUUCGAAAGGAACGCUAAUACCGCAUACGUCCUACGGGAGAAAGCAGGGGACCUUCGGGCCUUGCGCUAUCAGAUGAGCCUAGGUCCGAUUAGCUAGUUGGUGGGGUAAUGGCUCACCAAGGCGACGAUCCGUAACUGGUCUGAGAGGAUGAUCAGUCACACUGGAACUGAGACACGGUCCAGACUCCUACAGGAGGCAGCAGUGGGGAAUAUUGGACAAUGGGCGAAAGCCUGAUCCAGCCAUGCCGCGUGUGUGAAGAAGGUCUUCGGAUUGUAAAGCACUUUAAGUUGGGAGGAAGGGCAGUAAGCGAAUACCUUGCUGUUUUGACGUUACCGACAGAAUAAGCACCGGCUAACUCUGUGCCAGCAGCCGC